GGUAAUUUAAUCUUAUAAUCAAAAUAAAUGGAUCAAAAAUAUAUAAAUAAAUAUAUAAAAACAAAGAGGAGUUAAAUAAUAUUCCUCCCAUCACCCCAACAAAACAAUAUAUUCCCACUCAAUGUAAAUAAAACAAACAAUGAAUAAAUAAGAAAAUUGUCAAACUCUAUAGGGUCUUCUCGUCCCAUAAAAACAUCUAAGAAUUUUAACUCAAAAACCAAAUUCAAUAAACCAAUACCCCCAAGACAGCUUAUGUCUCGUCAAGCCAUUCAUACCAGAUCACAAUUAAAGAACUAAUGAUUAUGCUACCUUUGCACGGUCAAAAUACCGCGGCCCUUCAACUCCAAGUCAGUGGGCAGGCCAUACUUCAAAAACUAACAAGAAAAGAUGUUUUUGUUAAACAGGCGGACAUAAAAUUUUGCCGAAUUCCUUAAAAGCAAUUAACAUCUCACCAUCUCACAAAACAACCAAUAAAAUUUACUAAUUACACAAUAAUUACCAUACAAACCAAAAGUAAAGAAAACAUUUCAAUAAAUAACUUAAAUCAAUAAAAAAUUAAAAAAAGAACAAAUAAAAUUUUAACAUAAUCAAAUAGAAAAUCACCAUAAAAUCCACAAAACUAAAUUAACCACAAAUAAUUAUAAAAACUAGAACAAGGAGCUAAUCCCCCUCAAUCUUAACAUCAAAUAAAAAUAAAUAAAUCAACAACAGAAAUUAAAUAAGAUGCAUGAAUUAAA
rnacentral:rRNA from 1 species